rnacentral:lncRNA from 1 species
UAUCAUUCGGUAUGGUAAUGAUUUGUGAGGCAGAUGCUCAUUUUCAUAGAUAUGCAUCAUAUCCAUAAAUAUGCAACAGAUGUGGGUUCCUGCUGGUCUUGAAAACAGAAAUCAACCUGUUGGUUUAGCUGAUUGUGAGACUGAUACGUGCAAAUAGAAUAGGUGAACCUGUUCAGCAGCAGAUACAAGCAGAUUCAAUUCAAGAUUGAAAAAAAUAUUUUUAUGAAAAAUUAGUUUCUUACAAUUACGUAAUAUUAAUGAUUACACCGUUUUUGCAUUUGCAACCAUGGAGAAACACUACACAAUGUGGAUGUUAACUCUUUUUGAUCUCUCUCUCUCUAUUUCUCUGAUAUUUUCCUUUGAUGAGUUUUAAAGCGAGGUCAUUUCUAAGCCACGCCCACUCCACUCCAUUGGCCACUCGCCGAUCUCCCCGGAAGCUGACUGGCUCACCUGGCGGCUGGCGUCUCCCACCUGUUCCGACAGUCACUCCCAGCAGUCGAGCCGCUGCGGACGGAGGGAAGCGACUUUGCGCCGGUGCCAUGGACUGAGAGCUGGGAACAGCUUCUGUUUGCUGCUCCAGUAACUUGAAUGUUUCAGUGAUCGACGUGUGACUCAGUAGGAGACUACAGCAGGACUGCAAGUCCAGACCAUCUUCCCUCGUCCUUUUCCGCGUGCGUUGCCGAAGGAUGACGCGUGGUCAGGAGCUCUUGCCAUGGAAUUGCUGAGCAGUGGGGUCAGCGCUGGGAGCUGUGACAGUGUGAUCAGCAUGACCUCGGCCUGUAGUGAAGACAGCAUGGAGCACCUGUCUGCAGAGGAACGGGCCUGUCUGAUGUAUCUGGUGGAAACCAUUGAGGCCUUGGAGGUGCAGGAGGACAGCGGCUUGUCCAAUGAUGAACCCGACCACGGGCUCCAUGGUACGGUUCUGGCAUGUUAACUGAAAUGUUGCUCUGGCCUUCGUAAUAACCCAUGAGGGUUGUUGUAACCUUGACGUCAGGCUGUCUAUCCGUGAUGCCUGCAGUGCUGAAGUGAAGUGAAGUGUUUAUUGUAAACUGUUUACUGGAAUCCAGAGAAGAGGCAGUUUGGUCAAACAGGAACAG